ensembl:lncRNA
AAAUUUAUUCCUUUCAGAAAAUAACUUACAUUCCAGAACACACACAUUGUGACAGCAUAUUUCCAGUGUUCCUUUUCUUGUAAUUUUUCUUAAGUUGCAUUUACACAGGAAGCCCAAUUCUGAUCUUUUGGCCCCAAUAUUGGCAAAAGAUCUGAUCUGAUUGGGCAAGAGAUCAGAAUUGGGCAACCGGUGUGAACGUAGCCUUACACACAGUAAAGAGGUUAGACAUUGCAUUAUCAGAAGGAUUUCUGGCGGAUAUAUUUACACGUACAGUACAUUCAGAUCAACAUCAUAAAAAGGUCCAUCCUAUCAGAUCAGUGAUAAAAAGGUCCAUCCUAUCAGAUCAGCGUGAUAAAAAGGUCCAUCCUAUCAGAUCAGCGUGAUAAAAAGGUCCAUCCUAUCAGAUCUGCGUGAUAAAAAGGUCCAUCCUAUCAGAUCAGUGAUAAAAAGGUCCAUCCUAUCAGAUCUGCGUGAUAAAAAGGUCCAUCCUAUCAGAUCAGUGAUAAAAAGGUCCAUCCUAUCAGAUCAGUGAUAAAAAGGUCCAUCCUAUCAGAUCAGUGAUAAAAAGGUCCAUCCUAUCAGAUCAGUGAUAAAAAGGUCCAUCCUAUCAGAUCAGCGUGAUAAAAAGGUCCAUCCUAUCAGAUCAGCGUGAUAAAAAGGUCCAUCCUAUCAGAUCUGCGUGAUAAAAAGGUCCAUCCUAUCAGAUCAGUGAUAAAAAGGUCCAUCCUAUCAGAUCAGUGAUAAAAAG